UACGUAGGGUGCGAGCGUUAAUCGGAAUUACUGGGCGUAAAGCGUGCGCAGGCGGUGAUGUAAGACAGAUGUGAAAUCCCCGGGCUCAACCUGGGAACUGCAUUUGUGACUGCAUCGCUGGAGUGCGGCAGAGGGGGAUGGAAUUCCGCGUGUAGCAGUGAAAUGCGUAGAUAUGCGGAGGAACACCGAUGGCGAAGGCAAUCCCCUGGGCCUGCACUGACGCUGAGGCGCGAAAGCGUGGGGAGCAAACAGG
rnacentral:rRNA from 1 species